rnacentral:tRNA from 1 species
GGAGAUAUAGCUCAGUUGGUAGGGUACUUGCCUAGCAUGCAGGAAUCCCUAGGUUCAAUUCCCAGCACCA